GGUCUAAUAGUGUAGUGGUUAUCACAGUGGAUUUUGACCAUUAGAUCAUCAUUCCAUUAACCCAGGUUCGAAUCCUGGUUAGACCU